AUGAGUUUUCAAAGUUUCACACAGAAGCAAAAAAAUUGAAAGUCCUACAACAUCUGUGGACUCGUCUAAUUGCAGUGAAUACCCAUCACAUUGAUGCGGUCGAGAAAUUAGUUCAGUAUGGAUGUCAUCAGCAAGAUCAUGAAUACAGCGCCAAACUGUGUUGUUGGAAAGUGGCACAGCUUCAAUUUGUUUUCAUCCUCUCAUGGUUUUCCUCUUAUUUCUCUCAACGCUCAUUCAGUGUCUCCUUUUCUAAUGAUACCUCCUCCCCUCGUUCUGUCUUGGUUGUAGUCCCCCAAGGCUCUGUCCUUGGUCCCCUUCUAUUUUCUCUUUAUAAUGCCUCUCUUGGAUGCUAAUUACCUCUUUUGGAUUCCACUAUCAUCUGUACGCUGAUGACACCCAGAUAUAUCUCUACUCCCCGGACCUCUCCUCUGCCGUUCUGCAACGUGUCACUGCUUGCCUUUCUUCCAUCUCUGACUGGAUGUCCUCCCGCUUUCUGAAACUCAAU